rnacentral:rRNA from 1 species
GACGAACCGAGCGAACGUUGUUCGGAAUCACUGGGCUUAAAGGGCGCGUAGGCGGGCUGUCAAGUCUGGGGUGAAAUCCCGCGGCUCAACCGUGGAACUGCCUUAGAUACUGACGGCCUCGAGGGAGAUAGGGGCGAGCGGAACUGUGAGUGGAGCGGUGAAAAUGCGUUGAUAUUCACAGGAACUCCGGUGGCGAAGGCGGCUCGCUGGAUCUUUUCUGACGCUGAGGCGCGAAAGCUAGGGGAGCAAACGGG